rnacentral:misc_RNA from 1 species
AGCAGCCGCGGUAAUUCCAGCUCCAAUAGCGUAUAUUAAAGUUGUUGCAGUUAAAAAGCUCGUAGUUGAAUUUCGGGGUUAGCAGGUCGGUCGUGCCAUCGGUAUGAACUGGUCUCGCUGAUCCCUCCCUCUUGACGAACUGUGAUGCCAUUAAUUUGGUGUCGCAGGGAAUCAGGACUGUUACUUUGAAAAAAUUAGAGUGUUUAAAGCAGGCUCACGCUUGAAUACAUUAGCAUGGAAUAAUGAAAUAGGACGUUUGAUCCUAUUUUGUUGGCUUCUAGGAUUGACGUAAUGAUUAAUAGGGAUAGUUGGGGGCAUUAGUAUUCAAUUGUCAGAGGUGAAAUUCUUGGAUUUAUUGAAGACUAACUACUGCGAAAGCAUUUGCCAAGGAUGUUUUCAUUAAUCAAGAACGAAAGUUAGGGGAUCGAAGACGAUCAGAUACCGUCGUAGUCUUAACCAUAAACUAUGCCGACUAGGGAUCGGAUGAUGUUAAUUUUUUAAUGACUCAUUCGGCGCCU